GCGCGCAAACUUUACAAUGCGAGCAAUCGUGAUAAGGAAACCCUGAGUGCCUGUCGAUGCAGGCUGUUCAUAUAUCUAAAUCAUAUGUGAAGAAAGGGCAGGGCAAGACCGGUGCCAGCCGCCGCGGUAAUACCGGCUGCUCGAGUGAUGGCCACUAUUACUGGGUUUAAAGCGUCCGUAGCUUGACUGUUAGGUCUCUUGGGAAAUCUUCACGCUUAACGUGAAGGCGUCUAAGAGAUACCGGCAGUCUUGGAACUGGGAGAGGUAAACCGUACUUCGGGGGUAGGAGUGAAAUCUUGUAAUCCUCGAGGGACGACCUAUGGCGAAGGCAGUUUACUGGACCAUUUCUGACACUAAGGCACGAAAGCGUGGGGAGCAAAC
rnacentral:rRNA from 1 species